rnacentral:rRNA from 1 species
UACAGAGGUCUCAAGCGUUGUUCGGAUUCAUUGGGCGUAAAGGGUGCGUAGGCUGUGGGGUAAGUCUGGUGUGAAAUCCCCGGGCUCAACCUGGGAACUGCAUCUGUGACUGCAUCGCUGGAGUGCGGCAGGAGGGGAUGGAAUUCCGCGUGUAGCAGUGAAAUGCGUAGAUAUCGGGAGGAACACCAGUGGCGAAGGCGGUUGCCUGGGGCUUUGCUGACGCUGAUGCGCGAAAGCGUGGGGAGCGAUCCGG